ensembl:lincRNA
ACUCACAAUAAAGCAGCAACUACUGACGUCAUCGACUGGUCCCCAGCAGACGCAGACUCUUUCCAGAUUAUGACCAGUGGCUCUCCAAGAAUCAUCAAGGCCUUCCACAUCAGAUUGCAGUAACCAAGGCAUCCAGCUUCACGGGCUGAACAUCUUUGGGGUUCUCAGCCUUUCCUUCAUACAAUGUAGGACUAGAGGACUGGCUAUUGGACUACUCAGCUCCUAUGAUUGUCUGAUGGCAGAGAGAAGACAUCACCGGAACACCCUUGCAAAAGGAUUACAGCACUGGAGAAAAGUUUCCCAGACAGGAGGACCAUUCCAUGCCAUGUGACUUAACCUAUGUUCAAGGAACGACAGUCAUGGUGGGGACAUGUGAAAGACACCAGGUAAAAGGUUGGGCCAUCCCAGAAGCAUAAAAGAUCAACAGAGAAAAAAGCCUUCAUCAGGGCUUUGCCAAGACACCAGAUUAUUCCACGUGAGCUACUGUCUCCAUGGCAAACGUUUGACCUCACCAUUCCUUCACAGAAAGGCAAAAGUCUUCAGUGCAUGGGCCAUCCUCCAUGUUAGGAGCAGUGUCACCUGGUGUCCCUCGGUUAGACUCUGGAGUUCUUCCAUCU